rnacentral:lncRNA from 1 species
CAACAAGAAGAUAGGCAAAUCAUACUAACACAAGGAAUUCUGCAAUAUGGUGACAUCUGGUACAGGAGCAAAGAGCUCCAUUGGUACCAUGCAAAUGAGAGUGCCAUCCUGUGUUCAUCAAGAUGAUUCUGGGCCACAGAGAGAACUGUAGGGCACACGAGCCAGUCAAAGAUGGCACUGAGGAGAAGUCAGAUGGGGAAUGGGUUGGAGAGAUGAUGGCUCAGCGGUUAAGAGCACCGACUGUUCUUCCAGAGGUCCUGAGUUCAAUUCCCAGCAACCACAUGGUGGCUCAUAACCAUCUGUCACGAGGUCCGGUGCCCUCUUCUGGUGGAAGAAUGGAAGCAGAAUGUUGUAUACAUAAUAAAUAAAUAAAGUCUUUUAAAAAAAUGUCCAGGGAACAGGGACUUUGUCUUAUUUCUUUUACAUCUUUGCAUCUGACAGUUUCAAAUGAA